CUCAGCUCACUGCCUCACACCCAGGGGGCCAGGGGCCUCCUGGGCUGCAAGGGUGGACAUAAAAACACUUGAACACUUAGAAGCCUUAAUUGAAGUGCACUAAAGCUUUUGAUUGAGCUCCAGAGGAAACUAAACCCCUUUGUUGAAACAAAAAGGAAAAGACGAGAAACUUUCAAACUAAGGAGCUUUUGUUUGGCCUUUCUUUAGCUGUGAUGAUUGAAUCCCUCUUGCUUUGUUGUUGUUUGUUUAGUUGGAUCCCCAUUUAGCUUUCAGCAGCUACUCUUCCUGGGGUCCACAAAAACACGACAAGUAACAAAACACUGAUACACAAGGACAGUCACACGAGUUAAAAUACAGGGAUGUACAAACAAUACAUCUAAAAGAUGUGUGUGUGUGUUAGAGUGUGUGUCUCUUAGUGUGUCUGUGUUAGUCUGUGUGUCUGUGUGUCUGUGUGCUAGUGUGUCUGUGUGUCAGUGUGUCUGUGUGCUAGUGUGUCUGUGUGUCUGUGUGCUAGUGUGUCUGUGUGUCAGUGUGUCUGUUAGUGUGUCUGUGUGUUAGUGUGUCUGUUAGUGUGUCUGUGUGUUAGUGUGUCUGUAUUAGAGUGUGUCUGCGUGUUAGUGUGACUGUAUUAGUGUGUCUGUAUUAGAGUGUGUCUGUGUGUUAGUGUGUCUGUGUUAAUGUGUCUGUAUUAGAGUGUGUCUGUGUGUUAGUGUGUCUGUGUUAGUGUGUCUGUGUUAGUGUGUCUAUGUUUGUGUGUUAGUGUGUUAGUGUGUUAAUGUGUGUGUGUGUGUGUGUGUGUCUAUCUGUGUGUGUGUGUGUGUGUGUGUGUGUGUCUAUCUGUGUGUGUGUGUGUGUGUCACCUCACAGUCCCCUCUGUUCCAUGAGAUGUUGUUUCAUCUAUUUUUUUAAGGUCAUUUUUCUGUUUGCUGAGUAACUGUAAAUGGAAGGGAGUUCCAUGGGACCACGGCUCUGUAUAAUACUGUGAGUUGUACCACGGCCCUGUAUAAUACUGUGAGUUGUAUCACGGCUCUGUAUAAUACUGUGAGUUGUACCACGGCUCUGUAUAAUACUGUGAGUUGUACCACGGCUCUGUAUAAUACUGUGAGUUGUACCACGGCUCUGUAUAAUACUGUGAGUUGUACCACGGCUCUGUAUAAUACUGUGAGUUGUACCACGGCUCUGUAUAAUACUGUGAGUUGUAUCACGGCUCUGUAUAAUACUGUGAGUUGUACCACGGCUCUGUAUAAUACUGUGAGUUGUACCACGGCUCUGUAUAAUACUGUGAGUUGUACCACGGCUCUGUAUAAUACUGUGAGUUGUACCACGGCUCUGUAUAAUACUGUGAGUUGUACCACGGCUCUGUAUAAUACUGUGAGUUGUACCACGGCUCUGUAUAAUACUGUGAGUUGUACCACGGCUCUGUAUAAUACUGUGAGUUGUACCACGGCUCUGUAUAAUACUGUGAGUUGUACCACGGCUCUGUAUAAUACUGUGAGUUGUAUCACGGCUCUGUAUAAUACUGUGAGUUGUACCACGGCUCUGUAUAAUACUGUGAGUUGUACCACGGCUCUGUAUAAUACUGUGAGUUGUACCACGGCUCUGUAUAAUACUGUGAGUUGUACCACGGCUCUGUAUAAUACUGUGAGUUGUACCACGGCUCUGUAUAAUACUGUGAGUUGUACCACGGCUCUGUAUAAUACUGUGAGUUGUACCACGGCUCUGUAUAAUACUGUGAGUUGUACCACGGCUCUGUAUAAUACUGUGAGUUGUACCACGGCUCUGUAUAUAAUACUGUGA
rnacentral:lncRNA from 1 species